rnacentral:tRNA from 1 species
GCCUAGGUGGCUCAGUCGGUUGAGUGCCCGACUUCAGCUCAGGUCAUGAUCUCACCACUUGUGGGUUCAAGCUCCACAUUGGGUU